rnacentral:piRNA from 1 species
UGAGACACAUGAGCCACCCUCCUCUAUC